UACGUAGGGGGCUAGCGUUGUCCGGAAUCAUUGGGCGUAAAGAGCGUGUAGGCGGUCCGGUAAGUCCGUUGUGAAAGUCAGGGGCUCAACCCUUGAAUGCCGGCGGAUACUGUCGGGCUAGAGUCCGGAAGAGGCAAGUGGAAUUCCCGGUGUAGCGGUGAAAUGCGCAGAUAUCGGGAGGAACACCUGAGGUGAAGACGGGUUGCUGGGCUGACACUGACGCUGAGGCGCGAAAGCUAGGGUAGCAAACGGG
rnacentral:rRNA from 1 species